rnacentral:rRNA from 1 species
GAUGAACGCUGGCGGCGUGCCUAAUACAUGCAAGUCGAGCGAACAGACCAGGAGUUUGUUCCUCUGACGUUUUCGGCGGUCGGGAUUGUCACAUGUGUAUAACCUACCUAUCAGACUGGGAUACUUUCGGGACAUCGUAGCUUAUACCGUAUAAUAUAUUGAUCCGCAUGGUUCAAUAGUGAAAUUCGGUUUUUCUGUCACUUAUAGAUGGAUCCGCGCGGCAUUAGCUAGUUGUUAAGUUAACGGGUUACCAAGGCAACGAUUCGUAGACGACAUCAGAGGGUGGUCGCACACACGGGAAGUGAGAAAGAGUCCAGACUCCGACGGGAAGCAGCAGAAGGGAAUCUUACGCAAGGGGCGAAAGGAUGACGGAGCAAAGCGGCGUAAGUGAUGAAGGUGUUCGGAUCGUAAAGAUCUGUUAUUAGGGAGGAACAAAUGUGUAAGUAACUAGGAACGUAUUGACGGUACCGAAUCAGAAAGCUACGGCUAACUACGUG